rnacentral:lncRNA from 1 species
UGGUAAUGAAAAUUCUUGUAAAUGAAAUGAGCCAACCAUUUUGAAGCUGCAAAACAAACGAUAGCCAUUGAUACCAUUGUUGUUUUAACCACCAUUGAUAUCAUGUUUUGCUUUGUUACAGCAACGAUGCCAAUCAAACCAACAGACAUGAUUUGUAGUAUUACUUCGAGUGCCUUGAGACAUUAUGUGCAGUAUUACAACUCUUACAAUUCACCACAUGACUCCAAUACCUGCAAAACAAGAACAAAGGUUAUAAGGUAUGUUACCCGGGUUCAGAGCGUUGGAUUCACGUACAUAUUCGAUACAGGUAUGUUCAUAUGUUAGGAUACAAGCUCCCAUAUUUCGAGAAAAGUGAAGAGUCAGAGCAAUAUAAGGACAAAGUUACUAAAUUUACCUGUCCAUUAGUUGUUCUCUAGGAGGGGACGGAGGAAGAGCUCCACUAUACUUCCCUUUCCAAUCAAUCUCACCGCCGGCAUACUUGUUGAACCACCUUCGGAAACCGACUACUAAGGCAUCCGACUUUGUAGGCACGAAACAAGCUUUUUGCCAACUGGUAGCCCCGAUUUCCAUUAUUUUACGCUCCUACAUGGAGAAAUAAGGUGUAAAACAAAACGAAGUUUACCAGGCAAGAAUAUUUGCAUAUAGCUAUGUGUUAAACAUGAGUUCUUCAUAUAUUUAGAGGGUCCUUAAAAGUUGAUUGUCCAAAUAAGCAUGGAAUAUGAUUGUCAGAUACUGAGUACUCAUAAAAAAAGUGAAUGUACCUAAGAGGCCUCUCUGUUAUAGGGAUUUGAUCAAAUUAGUCCUUCAACUAUUAAAUAGAUCAAUUUAGUCCCUUUACUAUUAAAAAGAAUCAAAUAAGACCAAAUUAGAAUAGAGUUAAAAUUUACUAUUUUAAAAAGUUAAUAUUUUUAAAGUUUUUACGAUUUUGUAAAUAAAAUCUUUUGUUUAGAUUUGAGUUGCAAUUGAAAAAUAAUAAUUUUCAAUACAUUUUUUAGAUAGUGAAUGUUAACUCUAUUACAAUUUGGACUUAUUUGAUUCUUUUUAAUACUAUAAGGACUAAAUUAAUCCAUUUAAUAAUAGAGGGGACUAAUUUGAUCCAGUACCUAUACAGGUACUUUAACCCAUAAACAAAUGAAAAGUCGAAGCCAUAUAGAUUUUUUGAAUGAAACUCAUCAAAGAGCCAGAGAUAUAGGAAUCACCUCAACAUGAAGAAGAUACAAAUCGGAAUCAAGAAUCAAGUUUAGUCCAAUGUGAAUUAUCCAUCUUGGAACCAUUUUGUCAAUCGAAACACCAAAGUUUCUCGGGAAAGUCCAAAUCAAUCUACUAUUACCUGGACUAACCGGAACACACAUAAAAAUCAAAGAAAAUCUUCGAUUCGGUGGCAGUGCCUGCAAAAAAAUACUUCUUUAUUGGUAAACAACACUCGGAAAACAAAUAAUAUACUGGACCUGACAGUCCACCGGUUCAACCAGUUCAACCUGCUGAUAAAUAGCAAUAUAUAGUGAAGUGAAUGCAGAACCUUUACAAUUUCGGAAGAUGUUGCAGAUCCAUUUUCUUGAUCAACUUCGACAUCAGUAAAAGCAUGAAAGAUGCAAGGUGCAAUAAAGUUAGAACUAUCCAAAUCUUGCUUUCCAAGAAAACCAUUUAUGUCCAACUUCUUAACUUUCAUAUCAAGUGGUCUACCCCCUUCUCUAUCAACCUUCACUGUGAACCAAAAUGUGCAAUUUUAGAUGCAAGAAUUCGAUAUCGCGAAAAUACAUACAUCAAGAACCUCUUACCGGUUGGGGUCCGAGUGCACAUUAUACCAUAAUGUGCAUAUGGAACAUGAGCAGGAUCCAUAAGAUUUUCAACCAGUACCUCGUACCUGAAAAUGCAAACUUAGUUUCUUCAACAAAUUUCAGCAACUAUUGAUGAUUUACAUCCACUACAUUACUCUCUUCAUUUUUCUUAGAGUACUCGCAUAAUUUGCAUACCCAUAAGGGAUAUCUCUGUUUACCAUCGACUUUGAAAAUGAAGGAUCAUCUAAUACAGGAAAGUAAGGAGGCUUUUUCUUUGUUAUAAUAUCUUUGUAUUGAGGAUCAGCAUUUGGCCAAACCCAUACAAUAUCAUGUUGCACAACACUUGGAUAAACAGCCACACAUGCUUUCUUGAAUGUAUGGACCUGCAAAUUUGAAAACCAAAGUUAAAAUAAGAGAACCCUUUUUGCCAAUAAUGCCACACAUUACAAGCAAUUGCUUAUUACUGUUGAGGGGAGGCCGGACUCUUUAUUAGGAGAAGUUUUCAAAGUAUCAUGAGCAGACGAACCCCUCAAUGGUUGAGGUAUUGUGCUCAAGGUGUCUAUGCUCGGUUUGUCUCUCGACUCCGCAGGGAGCCCUGACAGGUCCAUAAAGUGAGAACACCUUGCCCACCAAGGAAAUAAGAGCAUUUGGCCUUGGUGGGUUUGAAACCAUGCCCUUAUAUGGCAUUAGUAGGUAAGAAUAGUACCACUUGAGCUAGUGACCUCCCCUCAACAAUUAUAAUAUCAACACUUUAAAAGAGGAUCAGUAUGUAAAUACACUAUACUAAUUGAAGUUAGGAGAUUAGUGAAGAAUACUAUACGUCCACACAUUCAUUUUUCUUAAAAUAGUCGUGUCUGACAUUCAAUCCAACACACAAAUUCGUAGAUAUGAUCCCGAGUCGUAUCUUCAAAUAUAUACAUGUAUUCAAUACUCAUACCCGAGUCAGAGUAAACACCCAUACCUAUGUCCUUACAUGUAUAGAUAUAUCAUACAUGUAGGAGAAUUAAACCCCAGAAAGUUCCAAAUAAUCCUAACAUUAGAACAGCAAAAACAGAACAUAAUUAAACAUGAUGAUAUGAACUAAAAGAAAAGGGUUACCGGGGGUCCAUCUACGGGAGCUUGAGGAAUGAUUUUGCAGUCACCGUUGCCACCAAAACACCAACCAUGGUACACACAUUGUAACCUCCCCCAUUGAUCAAUUCUUCCCUCAGAUAAAGGAGCUAAUCUAUGAGGACAAGUAUCAUCGAACACUUUCCAUUCAUUCUCGUUCUUAUCCCACCAAACCACUAGAUCAAGUCCUAAUACUUUCUUACCAUGUGGCACCCUCUUAUCCAAAUCACUUACAGGCAUCACCGGAUACCACUGUGAGUACCAAUCGAAUCUCUCUUUACCGACCUCAGCCUCAACUUCCGGCAUAGGUGGCUCAAUAGACUCCGUUGUUGAUAUUGGGGACGAUGAUAAGGUCGUAAACAACCUGGAUUUCGAUCCAUUUCUUGUAAAACAUGGUAAUUGUAAGUUCAAAUUGUGAAAGAUGGGUUUAGAAAACUGGGUUUUGUUUCUUGUUGUUGUUGGAAUGUAUGGUGAAUAAACUAUGGUAGGAGAAGCUUUGAGAACAUCCAGGGAGGAUUAUAUAUGUUGGUUUAUUUUUCUUUUGUAUUUUAACGAUUAUGGCGUUCUUAAAAAGCUUAAAAGCAAAGAGAAAACGAAGAAGAGUGAAAGAACUUGAGGCUGAAAGAGGAUGAGCGUGUGAGUAAAUGAAACGCGUGAUGGAGGUAGACUGUGUGAGUAAAGAACUUGAGGCUGUGAGGAAAUGAAACUGAGUGAUGUGAUGUGAUCUUAGUGAGGCUAAAAAUGAAUUACAAAACAGUGCUUAUUGAAAAGUCGAGGAAAUAAAACAACAAAUAGUAAUCAAUGAACACUCCCAAAGCAAAGACUUUGAAAUGUUUGCAUUUUGCAAAAGUCAACAUGACUUUGUAGGAUUACAAUGGUAGGAUUACAAUUGACUAGAUUUCUCCGUCUCGAAAGUGAGCUAAAAAAUGAGAAAGUUUGGGUAAAAAUAUAUAUUAAAAAGUAAAUUUAGGCAAAAAAUAAGGUUCAUUUUUUAAACAGAUCGUAUCUCGGAUAAGUUUUUUUGACCUAAGCCCGGCCUGGCUCAGAUACCCUUAACAAAGUAUCGAUACCCUUCCCAAAAGUAUCGACACCCUGCUUGAGAAUCAAUACCUUAGGGAAGGUAUCGAUAUCUCAUAAUAAGUAUCGAUACAUUUCCUAUUGUAUCAAUAUUAUAGGCUUUAAUAUGGGCCGAAAAGGAUCGGACCCAAGUUUAGCAUCUAUAAUCUAGGUUGAGUUUGGGCAAAAAUUUAAGCCUAUUUUUUGAAUCGAGCCCGGGCUUAUUAAUUGGACCUAAAAUUUUAUUAGGGCUUAACCCGAACCAGCCCAUGAACAACUCUACGAGGGAGGAACCAAUAAAAUAAAUGUGUUGAAAUUAGGCUCAAUUUAUACUACUUUAAAUAAUAGCUUUUUUAAAUUCGGAAUAAUCUUGAUCGCCAAAAUUAACAUGUGAAAAUUAAAAUUAACUUUUAGAAAGAAAAAAAAAGUUAAAUAUUCAAUUUGUAUUAAAUAUUUUAAUUAUUUAAGCAUUAAAUAUUUUACCAAAUUAAUAUUUAAAUCCUACUUUGUAUUAGUUUAUCAAAUUAAACUAAAAAUAUUAUUAAAUUUAUCAUAAAAAUUUAUAAUUUUAUAAAAAAAUCAAGUUAAAAGAAACUCUGGAAAACUUUGGGGGUGGAACACAAAUUUACCCUAUUUUUAAGCAUUAAUUAUAAGGUUAAUAAAAAAAAUUAAAACUUAAAUGGGUUGAAUUGAAAUUUUAUAAAAUUUAGGGGCAUCCUGUAAUGCCCCUUACCCGUAUUCAACGCCGAAACAGGGUUCGAGGCAUUACCGGACUUAAACACAAGAAAUCAUACGAUUCCGAGCCAUGAGAAUUAAUCUACAUUAAAACCAUUCAAAAACAAUAUGCUCAACAUUCAAUAACAUAAUUCAACUUGCAUGCAUGAUACAAGACUUUAUCACUUCACUUACUCCUUUGCAACUUUACCACAUUUCAAUCACAUACCGAACACAUUACUCAUGAGUAUACACAUAUAUAUAUAUAUGCACUUAUCACCACAUAGUCACACAUAAUUUCACUUAGUCGAUUUUCCCGAUGAACACUUCGGAAUAAUAACAGAUACACGGUGGUUCCGCACAUAGCACCACCCUUAUGAUCAAUGCUAUCCGGUAUACAUAGUAGCCUACACUUAGUACUACACAUAUGACCAAUACCAUCCGAUACACGUAGUAGCCUGCACAUAGUACUACACACGUGACCGAAGCUAUCCAGUACACAUAGUAGCCUGCACUUAAUAUUACAUAUGUGACCAUAACUAUCUUAUACUCAUAGUAGCCUACACAUAGUACUACACAUGAUUUCUCAUGAUGUCUUUCGUAUCCUUUUCUAUUCUGAAAGUUCAACCGGGAAAUUUGUCACUUAUUCUCACUUUGUCAAUUUCAACCAUAGUCAAUCUCAAUUCAUAAUUUACAUCAAAUAAUCAUUCAAUAUACAACCACAUCUCAUGUAAUAUAACAAAAUAUUAUAACAUAAGUAAAAACGAUAUAUUAUUUACAUACAAACUAGAGGUGAUCAUGGGUUGGGCUACCCAGCCCGGCCCGACGACCCGCCCGAAAAAUGGGAGGGUUUGGGUAAAAAUAUAGACCCGAAAUAUAGGUUUGGGCAAAAAAACGAGGCCCCUUGGGUAAAAUUAUUUUGGUCCAAGCCCGGCCUGAAUUAUAUAUUAAAUAUUUAUUUUUUAUUUUUAAUCAAUUAUAUAUAUUUUAUAUAUAUUUAAUAUGGGUCGGGCCGGGCCAGGCUCAGCAAUUUUUUUCGGGCCGGGCUUGGACAAAUUUUUAGGCCCAUAUUUCGGGCCAAGCAGGGCCCGAGCCUAGAAAAUGGGCCUAAAUUUUUAUCUGGGCCAGGCCCAAACUCAGCCCAGUCCGCCCCAUGAUCACCUCUAAUACAAACUUACCUCGACACCAAAAGGGCAAAAAGGGACAUAACCGUCAAUUCUCGUUUUUCCCCCGUUCUAGGUCCGAACCUCAUUUUCUUUGAUCUAUAAUAUCAUAUUUAGCCUAAUUAUUAGUCACAUUAUUCAAAUCAGUCCACAAUUCAUAUGUUGGUAAAAUUAUUGUUUUGCCCCUAAACUUUCACAUAUUUACAAAUUAGUCCCUAGGCUCGUAAAACGAAAUUUAUGGAAUUUCAUCCAUAUCAAAGACUAACCGAAUUAUUUAGGUGCUCAUAGCAGCCCAUAUAAUCCCCAAUUUCACUCAUAUAACUCAAAAUCUUCAUACUUUACAAAUUAACCCCUAAUAGCAUUUUACAACAAAAAUCACUUAACAAGAAAUGUUCAACACACAACAAGGUUUCAUUUUACUCCAUUAAACUUCACAAUCAACUAUCAUGCUUUCAUUUCCCAAAACCCUAGCCUUUCAAUCAUCUUGCAAAUUAGUCCCCUAUUUAGCUAGCUUAAGCUUCAAUGGUUCCAAAAACAUAUAAAUCAACAAAAACAAACAUAAAUUUCACUUACAUGCAAGGGUUUAAAUUUGCUAAAAAUUUGAGUUCUCCAAUGGCUAUUCUCUUGGUAAAAAACGGUGGAAGAAGAUGAGCAAAUGAAUAAAAAUAAUAUUUUUAUUUCUUUUUGUUUAUUUUAUCAUAUUUCGUUAUGUAUAGAUGAUGAGAUUCCAUUGAUACAGAGCCAAUUCCAAUAGACUUAUUGGAGGGUCCCAUUGGCGUGCAUCCAGUAGGAAUUGAACCUACGAAUUCGCCAAUUAUGAGUUGGGCGCUUUAACCAUUCAGCCAUGGAUGCUUAGCGAGGAUCCUCGUACAUGGUGAAUAACCAAAUUCCAAUUGGAUUGAAAUCUUUAGGAUAAAUCAAUGCAAUUUUGGAGGAAUCAAUGAAAGGACAUCAAUUCAAAUCCUGGAUUUUCGAAUUGAGAGAGAUCAAGAAUUCUCACUAUUUCUUAGAUUCAUGGACUCAAUUCAAUUCAAUGGGAUCUUUCAUUCACAUUUUUUUCCACCAAAAAUGUUUUAUAAAACUCUUAGACCCCCGAAUUUGGAGUAUCCUACUUUCACGCAAUUCACACCAACCUAACCCAUCCAACAUCAUAAUUACACUCCAUGUGCAUCCACUUUCUCUUUUAAUGAUCUAAUUACUCAAUAAGGACCUCAAAUUUUAAGUUCUAUAGCUAAUUAACACAUUUAGCUAAUAGAACAUAACUUUAGCACUUUACGCGAUUUAGUCCUUUUGACUAAAUUGAGUGCCCAAAAGUCGAAAUUUUCAAACGAUAUUUCACGAAAUUAUUCCGUAAAAUUGUAGACUAUAAAAAUAUAGUAAAAUAAAUUUUCUUACGUCGGAUUUAGGGUCCCAAAAUUACUAUUCCGACUAGGCCCAAAAUCGGGUUGUUACACAUCCCUAGUGGUAAGGUGAAAAGUCAUCGUGUGGAUAAAAAGAUAGAGAGAGUGGUUAAAAGAAAGAGAAAGAAAGUAGGAAAAAUGUUCUCUUGUAUUGUUUUUAUAGUCUCUUCCGUGCAAUGAUAAGUCGUAUAUAUGACAUCUCACAAUGUUCUCUUGUAUUGUUUUUAUAGUCUCUUCAGUACAAUGAUAAAUCAUAUAUAUGACAUCUCACAUGUCAUGACAUCACUAGCAAAAAGGUCACGUCUUGUCUUCUCACAGGUGCGGGAAUGCGAAUUCAAAGGUGGGUAAUGCAACGCCUUAAUAUGGUUAAACAAUUAACGGGUGUAAGGUUACAUAUACUCUUAACGAAGUUAGUCUAUAAUGAAGGUUCGUUCACCUUACCAUAGAGCCACUUGAUGUUAUGAGUUCAAUCAAUAGAAUUAGAUUUUUUAAAACCUUGUUCAUGGCAUGUAAUCUAGAACAUUUAAAUGUAGAGUUGAAAACACAUAAAAUAUGUAUAUUUAAUUUCUAAUCAUUGUUGGUAUAGAAAAAAAAAAAAGAUGUUCAACUAGCUUUUAACCUUACAUACAAAGUAAAGGGUGUCAUAUUCACAUAAACUUACACAAAAGCAUGGUUAUAGUCAUGGUAAUGAAAAUUCUUGUAAAUGAAAUGAGCCAACCAUUUUGAAGCUGCAAAACAAACGAUAGCCAUUGAUACCAUUGUUGUUUUAACCACCAUUGAUAUCAUGUUUUGCUUUGUUACAGCAACGAUGCCAAUCAAACCAACAGACGUGAUUUGUAGUAUUACUUCGAGUGCCUUGAGACCUUUAUGUGCAGUAUUACAACUCUUACAAUUCACCACAUGACUCCAAUACCUG